rnacentral:rRNA from 1 species
CCCUUAGAUGUCCGGGGCCGCACGCGCGCUACACUGAAGGAAUCAGCGUGGCUUUCUCCCUGACCCGAAAGGGUUGGGAAACCCGUUGAAUCUCCUUCGUGAUAGGGAUUGGGGCUUGAAAUUGUUCCCCAUGAACGAGGAAUUCCCAGUAAGCGCGAGUCAUAAGCUCGCGUUGAUUACGUCCCUGCCCUUUGUACACACCGCCCGUCGCUACUACCGAUUGAACGGUUUAGUGAGGGCCUCGGAUUGGUCUCGGCCCGCUCUUUACCGGGCGGCGCCGUUGGUCGAGAAGACGCUCGAACUUGAUCGGUUAGAGGAAGUAAAAGUCGUAACA